AGUGAACGCUGGCGGUAGGCCUAACACAUGCAAGUCGAACGGCAGCACAGGAGAGCUUGCUCUCUGGGUGGCGAGUGGCGGACGGGUGAGGAAUACAUCGGAAUCUACUCUGUCGUGGGGGAUAACGUAGGGAAACUUACGCUAAUACCGCAUACGACCUACGGGUGAAAGCAGGGGACCUUCGGGCCUUGCGCGAUUGAAUGAGCCGAUGUCGGAUUAGCUAGUUGGCGGGGUGAAGGCCCACCAAGGCGACGAUCCGUAGCUGGUCUGAGAGGAUGAUCAGCCACACUGGAACUGAGACACGGUCCAGACUCCUACGGGAGGCAGCAGUGGGGAAUAUUGGACAAUGGGCGCAAGCCUGAUCCAGCCAUACCGCGUGGGUGAAGAAGGCCUUCGGGUUGUAAAGCCCUUUUGUUGGGAAAGAAAUCCAUCUGGUUAAUACCCGGGUGGGAUGACGGUACCCAAAGAAUAAGCACCGGCUAACUUCGUGCCAGCAGCCGCCGCUG
rnacentral:rRNA from 1 species